GCCAGGCUGCAGAAUUUGGCCAUCCUCAAACACCACCUUUAAUGGCAAAGGAGGGAUGGGAAAACUCCUGAAGACCAGGUAGCCAUGGAGUGCUACAUUUCUGGAUGGAAAGGGGACCACACAGGAUUCACAACUGGGCUCCUCUUGCUGUGUUGGAGGGAGAUGUUUCACCUGAGCACCAUGUUUCACAUGGCAGUGGGGCAAGGCACUGAGGCUGUGUGGCAUGGCACCACAGGGUGGCCACUGGUCCCUGAGUCGGCAGACCUGGCUCUCUUUUCCCUGCCAUGCUGACUUCAUGUUUAUGGCUAAGAAGCCUCUCCCAGGGAGCAGCUGAGCUUCAGGGGCAUUCCUGGAGCGUCCAGGAGAGCAAUAUGGCCCUUUGCUGGUGGAGAACCUGAGACCCUCAAGGAGAAAGUGAAGAAAAUUCUCUCUGCAUACAGACCCCUUCCCAUUUUCCCAUUCUGGGUUGACUAUCCUCCCUCAUAGAUGUGCUCAUGAGUCUUGGAAAUUCUCUUGACUC
rnacentral:lncRNA from 1 species